rnacentral:rRNA from 1 species
AUUGAACGCUGGCGGCAGGCCUAACACAUGCAAGUCGAGCGGGGUUUUCGGACCUAGCGGCGGACGGGUGAGUAAUGCGUAGGAAGCUACCCGACAGAGGGGGAUACCAGUUGGAAACGACUGUUAAUACCGCAUAAUGUCUACGGACCAAAGUGUGGGACCUUCGGGCCACAUGCUGUCGGAUGCGCCUACGUGGGAUUAGCUAGUUGGUGGGGUAAUGGCUCACCAAGGCGACGAUCCCUAGCUGGUUUGAGAGGAUGAUCAGCCACACUGGAACUGAGACACGGUCCAGACUCCUACGGGAGGCAGCAGUGGGGAAUAUUGGACAAUGGGCGCAAGCCUGAUCCAGCCAUGCCGCGUGUGUGAAGAAGGCCU